GUGCCAGUAGCUCAACUGGAUAGAGUGGCGCCCUCCGAAGGCGUAGGUUGCAGGUUCAACUCCUGUCUGGCACA
rnacentral:tRNA from 4 species